rnacentral:rRNA from 1 species
AAGGCGGGUGCUAUACAUGCAGUCGACGCUUCUUUCCUCCCGAGUGCUUGCACUCAAUUGGAAAGAGGAGUGGCGGACGGGUGAGUAACACGUGGGUAACCUACCCAUCAGAGGGGGAUAACACUUGGAAACAGGUGCUAAUACCGCAUAACAGUUUAUGCCGCAUGGCAUAAGAGUGAAAGGCGCUUUCGGGUGUCGCUGAUGGAUGGACCCGCGGUGCAUUAGCUAGUUGGUGAGGUAACGGCUCACCAAGGCCACGAUGCAUAGCCGACCUGAGAGGGUGAUCGGCCACACUGGGACUGAGACACGGCCCAGACUCCUACGGGAGGCAGCAGUAGGGAAUCUUCGGCAAUGGACGAAAGUCUGACCGAGCAACGCCGCGUGAGUGAAGAAGGUUUUCGGAUCGUAAAACUCUGUUGUUAGAGAAGAACAAGGACGUUAGUAACUGAACGUCCCCUGACGGUAUCUAACCAGAAAGCCACGGCUAACUACGUGCCAGCAGCCGCGGUAAUACGUAGGUGGCAAGCGUUGUCCGGAUUUAUUGGGCGUAAAGCGAGCGCAGGCGGUUUCUUAAGUCUGAUGUGAAAGCCCCCGGCUCAACCGGGGAGGGUCAUUGGAAACUGGGAGACUUGAGUGCAGAAGAGGAGAGUGGAAUUCCAUGUGUAGCGGUGAAAUGCGUAGAUAUAUGGAGGAACACCAGUGGCGAAGGCGGCUCUCUGGUCUGUAACUGACGCUGAGGCUCGAAAGCGUGGGGAGCAAACAGGAUUAGAUACCCUGGUAGUCCACGCCGUAAACGAUGAGUGCUAAGUGUUGGAGGGUUUCCGCCCUUCAGUGCUGCAGCAAACGCAUUAAGCACUCCGCCUGGGGAGUACGACCGCAAGGUUGAAACUCAAAGGAAUUGACGGGGGCCCGCACAAGCGGUGGGAGCAUGUGGUUUAAUUCGAAGCAACGCGAAGAACCUUACCAGGUCUUGACAUCCUUUGACCACUCUAGAGAUAGAAGCUUUCCCUUCGGGGACAAAGUGACAGGUGGUGCAUGGUUGUCGUCAGCUCCGUGUCGUGAGAUGUUGGGUUAA